rnacentral:rRNA from 1 species
GUCUACGGCCAUGCCACCCUGAACAAGCCCAAUCCCGUCUGAUCUUGGAAGCUAAGCAGGGUCCGGCCUGGUUAGUACUUGGAUGGGAGACCACCCAGAAGGACCAAGUGCUGUAGGCA